rnacentral:rRNA from 1 species
CCUACGGGUUGCACCAGUGGGGAAUAUUGCACAAUGGGCGCAAGCCUGAUGCAGCCAUGCCGCGUGUAUGAAGAAGGCCUUAGGGUUGUAAAGUACUUUCAGUUGGGAGGAAGGCGUUGAUGCUAAUAUCAUCAACGAUUGACGUUGCCAACAGAAGAAGCACCGGCUAACUCCGUGCCAGCAGCCGCGGUAAUACGGAGGGUGCAAGCGUUAAUCGGAAUUACUGGGCGUAGAGCGCACGCAGGCGGUUGAUUAAGUUAGAUGUGAAAUCCCCGGGCUUAACCUGGGAAUGGCAUCUAAGACUGGCCAGCUAGAGUCUUGUGGAGGGGGGUAGAAUUCCAUGUGUAGCGGUGAAAUGCGUAGAGAUGUGGAGGAAUACCGGUGGCGAAGGCGGCCCCCUGGACAAAGACUGACGCUCAGGUGCGAAAGCGUGGGGGGCAAACAGGAUUAGAUACCCGUGUAGUC